GAUGAACGCUGGCGUCGUGCCUAAUACAUGCAAGUCGAGCGAACGGACGAGAAGCUUGCUUCUCUGAUGUUAGCGGCGGACGGGUGAGUAACACGUGGAUAACCUACCUAUAAGACUGGGAUAACUUCGGGAAACCGGAGCUAAUACCGGAUAAUAUUUUGAACCGCAUGGUUCAAAAGUAAAAGACGGUCUAGCUGUCACUUAUAGAUGGAUCCGCGCUGCAUUAGCUAGUUGGUAAGGUAACGGCUUACCAAGGCAACGAUGCAUAGCCGACCUGAGAGGGUGAUCGGCCACACUGGAACUGAGACACGGUCCAGACUCCUACGGGAGGCAGCAGUAGGGAAUCUUCCGCAAUGGGCGAAAGCCUGACGGAGCAACGCCGCGUGAGUGAUGAAGGUCUUCGGAUCGUAAAACUCUGUUAUUAGGGAAGAACAUAUGUGUAAGUAACUGUGCACAUCUUGACGGUACCUAAUCAGAAAGCCACGGCUAACUACGUGCCAGCAGCCGCGGUAAUACGUAGGUGGCAAGCGUUAUCCGGAAUUAUUGGGCGUAAAGCCGCGCGUAGGCGGUUUUUUAAGUCUGAUGUGAAAGCCCACGGCUCAACCGUGGAGGGUCAUUGGAAACUGGAAAACUUGAGUGCAGAAGAGGAAAGUGGAAUUCCAUGUGUAGCGGUGAAAUGCGCAGAGAUAUGGAGGAACACCAGUGGCGAAGGCGACUUUCUGGUCUGUAACUGACGCUGAUGUGCGAAAGCGUGGGGAUCAAACAGGAUUAGAUACCCUGGUAGUCCACGCCGUAAACGAUGAGUGCUAAGUGUUAGGGGGUUUCCGCCCCUUAGUGCUGCAGCUAACGCAUUAAGCACUCCGCCUGGGGAGUACGACCGCAAGGUUGAAACUCAAAGGAAUUGACGGGGACCCGCACAAGCGGUGGAGCAUGUGGUUUAAUUCGAAGCAACGCGAAGAACCUUACCAAAUCUUGACAUCCUUUGACAACUCUAGAGAUAGAGCCUUCCCCUUCGGGGGACAAAGUGACAGGUGGUGCAUGGUUGUCGUCAGCUCGUGUCGUGAGAUGUUGGGUUAAGUCCCGCAACGAGCGCAACCCUUAAGCUUAGUUGCCAUCAUUAAGUUGGGCACUCUAAGUUGACUGCCGGUGACAAACCGGAGGAAGGUGGGGAUGACGUCAAAUCAUCAUGCCCCUUAUGAUUUGGGCUACACACGUGCUACAAUGGACAAUACAAAGGGCAGCGAAACCGCGAGGUCAAGCAAAUCCCAUAAAGUUGUUCUCAGUUCGGAUUGUAGUCUGCAACUCGACUACAUGAAGCUGGAAUCGCUAGUAAUCGUAGAUCAGCAUGCUACGGUGAAUACGUUCCCGGGUCU
rnacentral:rRNA from 1 species